GGAUCCCUGGCGUAACGGUAGCGCGUUCGACUCCAGAUCGAAAGGUUAUCCGUUAAAAGCGGGUGGGGUUCA